rnacentral:rRNA from 1 species
CAGCAGCCGCGGUAAAACGGAGGGUGCAAGCGUUAUCCGGAUUUAUUGGGUUUAAAGGGUCCGUAGGCGGAUCUGUAAGUCAGUGGUAAAAUCUCACAGCUUAACUGUGAAACUGCCAUUGAUACUGCAGGUCUUGAGUAAAUUUGAAGUGGCUGGAAUAAGUAGUGUAGCGGUGAAAUGCAUAGAUAUUACUUAGAACACCAAUUGCGAAGGCAGGUCACUAAGAUUUAACUGACGCUGAUGGACGAAAGCGUGGGGAGCGAACAGGAUUAGAUACCCCCGUAGUCCCUGUCUCUUAUAC